rnacentral:lncRNA from 1 species
GCCACAGUUGACAUCUGUACGCCCCACGUCACGUGAGGUUAGUGUCUGAGCAGGGACUACAAGGAGCCAACAAUCCUGACUUCUGGUCUACCUUUCCCCCAAGUACCCACAGCCUCCCUAAUAUCCAAAUCCUCAUGUAACUUUAUGCAAUGAAACAUAUCAAACUUUACAUAGCAUUGCCCAGCCUGUGCACGUUGAGGUAUUUCAAAGCAAAAAGCAUUAUAAAGUCUUUGUGAACCUCUCCCCACAAGCAUGUAAAGCUUUGGGAACAGGCCAGGAACCACCUGCCUUGGCAUACCAUAGUGCUGUGACCAUUGCAAUUAUAUUUUCCAGAUACAAUUCUUGGGGCAUGCAGUCUGAGAAUGCUUUGCCUCUGAAUGGAGCACAUGGUUUUUGGAUAGGGAAAUGUUGGCCUACAGAUGUAUGAAGGCUAUGGUGUUGGUGGGGGUGCCGUAAUAGGAUAACUUGAGUCUGAAUGUGUGAAGUGAUGUUUCGACUAGAGCUGAUUUUGGAAGUGGUUGUAGCUGGCACUGGGAGAUGAGGAGGCAUGAUGAGGGUGAGAAUAAUUCAAUGUGAAUUUUCAAGAGUUAGGCUCUUGAACUGUAAGAAUGUAAACCUCAGGUCACUUUACUAAGAGGGGUUAUAUUGGGCCAAAUGUCUGCAUCUGCCUCCCACAUUCAUUCACCUGGCCCCACCUGCCUGCCCCCAGGUGCCCUGUAUCUGGCUCAGGGCUGAGAACCACAGCAGCCUGGCACCUACUCCCUAGUCCUGGCCUUGUGGUCUCAUGUGGUCUGGGCUGCUCCCACCACAUCCCGACUCAGGUGAAGUGUGGAUCUGAGCGCACAGCUGCAAAGUACAGGGCCUGGGGCCUUGACCAGGAAGUGCAGGUGAGUUCACGUACCUGUACAGGGUGAAGACAGCCUGAAGGAGGUGUGGGCAGGAGGGGGCUUCAUGCCCCACACAAGGAGGUUUGACCAUUGAGACAGGAGGUGGUGGCAGUUGUGAAUUUUUCUCCCUUCCCUGCCCACCUCCCUCCUCCUCCCACUCACACUCACAUUGCUCCAGGUAUGGUGAUGCCUUUGGCCUGCCCCUGAACGUCCCAUAUACCUGGACAGCCAGCUGUGUCUUCUGAGGCCAUGAGCAGCUGGCAGCACAUCCCUUGCAUCUGCUUUCCCCACUCCCGCUUUGCUUCCUGCCCUCACUCUUGCUGCCCCGGGAUUGCACCCAUCUCCUCACAAAGCAGGAGCUGCGAAGAUUUGCCUCAGGCUUUGUUCUCAAGGGAGGACAGGUCAUUAGGGGCUGGUUGUAAAGCUGCACAUAGAAAGCUAUGCACAUGCUUCACCUGGUUUCUUUUGACGUGGUCAUAGGAGAUUUAAAUACCUUGGUUUUCCUUAUCAUGGAGGUAUCUGUUUUUAUGUGUUUGCUUUGGCCUCCUUUUCUUCUCAAUUCACCAAUUUAUUUCCAUAUUUUUAAUGCCAAGCCUCAUAAGGAGUCCAGUGAAUUGUCAUAUCCAAUGAAGGUUGCAGUUGCUGGGCAAAUAUUUUGUGUUGCGUAAGGUCGAUUCAUGGGUAGCUGACCAGCUUACUGAUGAGCAAUCCUUGGAUUCAUGGCCCUUUCAGGAGCAAGAGCAGCUGGCCCUAUGUCUGUAAGUUAGAGUCUGUUGGUGGGCAGGGCCAGCUGGGUAUGGCGUGGUCAGUAGAAGUUGCAGCAGGAUGAAGAAGUGUCCCUCAUACCAGAGACCCUCUCUGUUGUACCCUCCUCUGACUAUAAACCUACUGUCUUUUGCAAAAGUAGGAAGAACUAGGAGCUUAGUUGCUGAAACGGGGAAGAGGACAUGUGGCCCUGUUUCUUAAACAAACUUUCAACAAACUGUCUUUAUUUUAGCCCUUCUUUUAUUCCCACGUUUAUCUAGAUGUACAGAAUUUCUGAGCUUCUGGGAAAGCCUGCCUCAGUUUGGUCCUAGGAUUUCUCUCUACUUCCGGCUUGGUCUUUUUUCUACUCCUUAUCUGGUUUCUCUCCUUAAAAUGUUGUUACAGUUGUAGAUCCUUCCAGCUCCCCUAUCUUUGAGGGCUUAUGCUAAAAAAAAAGUUAUUUUGCUAUUGUUUUAGUGCAUUUUGUUUUUGAGGAAGAAGUGAAAAUAGAUGCACAUGUUAAAUCCACCAUCUUUACCUAAAGGUUUUCUAAUAGCAUUCAAUAAUCCAUCCUUUCCCCCCACGAAAUUAAAAUAUCGCCUUUGGAUUCUGUACCUUGUCAAUAUUAUGUUAAUUACCUCGUUAACAUUAUGUUAAUUUUAUUACAGUGCCUUAAAAGUGUUUUUCAUAACUUCUAAAGCAA